CUCUUGAGUUUCAGUUCAGUGUGUAUAUCUUGAGUUUCAGUUCAGUGUGUAUAUAAGGAAUACGUCUUUUCCAAUAAAGGGGCAUUUGGUUCACCUACCAGAUCACUCCAUGUUUUUCUUUACAAUCCGCAGGCCCUCGACGACUCGGGGUAACAGGUUAACUGUACAGGCAUAGCUGACAAGUGGAGGUUCCACCGAGAUCGGAAAGAAGGGAAAAGCUGACAGACCACUCCUGGGCGCGCCAAAGAAAAGGAGUGAAUUGAUGGAGCACAAAGAAAGUGGCUUUACUUCAAGAACAAAUGGACUUUCUCUUUGCUACACGACAUAUUAUCUGUUCCCCCCAUUUCAUAACAAGUGUUGGCACUGAAUAAGAUUUUGACUUCCUUAUGGAAUGACUCUUAUUUUAAUCUUACCCGGAAGUUGCUUCAUCAAAUUGUGUUAAUUAAUGAGACUCGGGUGGACCCUCUGGAUGGCACUGGGUUCUUGUCCCUAGUCCAGCAAAUGGGGACCUUGGUAAAAGAAUGGGCAGGAGUGGCAGCCUUUCUGGGCAUUUUGCUAGUAGUAGCAUGUGGCAUUGUUUGGUGCCUUUGCCGGCUGAGAAGACAACAGAUUCAUUCCCAGGAAGUAGUGUGAGGAUUGGUCCUCAUGCAGAAGCAUGAUGCCCCCCCAGCUGAGGUUUGGCUAUUCAUACUUGAUAGGCACUGAUCGAAGACGGGCAACUUCCCUGACCCUUGGAUCAACCUAAGACAUGGGCCUUGAGAAUAAUAAGGUUACUCAAUGACCAAUGACGGGUAACACCAAGGAUGUGUUAGGGUUGAUCCUAAGACAGAUGGUGUCUUUUUAUUAAAGAAAAAAGGGUGAAUUGUGACCACCCGGGGCUUUUGGCCUUGAGUAAACAGGAUAUGGCCCUCACUGCCUGACUGCCUGCGCUGUUGGUCUCCACUCCCCCACCCUGCUGCCUUCCUGUAAAUAGCCCACAGCUGGGAAAUAGUAACUUACCCCAUUGGUCCACCCUGGUUUGGUGAUCUCUUGAGUUUCAGUUCAGUGUGUACAUAAGGAACAUGUCUUUUCCAAUAAAGGGACAUUUGGUUCACCUAC